rnacentral:tRNA from 3 species
GGUGGGGUUCCCGAGCGGCCAAAGGGAACAGACUGUAAAUCUGCCGUCAUCGACUUCGAAGGUUCGAAUCCUUCCCCCACCACCA